UGCCUGGGACGACCCGGCACGCAUCUGUUUUUUUCGGGGACGACCCCG
rnacentral:ncRNA from 6 species